rnacentral:rRNA from 2 species
AACUUUCAACAACGGAUCUCUUGGUUCUGGCAUCGAUGAAGAACGCAGCGAAAUGCGAUACGUAAUGUGAAUUGCAGAAUUCCGUGAAUCAUCGAAUCUUUGAACGCACAUUGCGCCCGCCAGCAUUCUGGCGGGCAUGCCUGUUCG